GAUGAACGCUGGCGGCAUGCCUAAUACAUGCAAGUCGAGCGAACGGACGAGAAGCUUGCUUCUCUGAUGUUAGCGGCGGACGGGUGAGUAACACGUGGAUAACCUACCUAUAAGACUGGGAUAACUUCGGGAAACCGGAGCUAAUACCGGAUAAUAUUUUGAACCGCAUGGUUCAAAAGUGAAAGACGGUCUUGCUGUCACUUAUAGAUGGAUCCGCGCUGCAUUAGCUAGUUGGUAAGGUAACGGCUUACCAAGGCAACGAUGCAUAGCCGACCUGAGAGGGUGAUCGGCCACACUGGAACUGAGACACGGUCCAGACUCCUACGGGAGGCAGCAGUAGGGAAUCUUCCGCAAUGGGCGAAAGCCUGACGGAGCAACGCCGCGUGAGUGAUGAAGGUCUUCGGAUCGUAAAACUCCGUUAUUAGGGAAGAACAUAUGUGUAAGUAACUGUGCACAUCUUGACGGUACCUAAUCAGAAAGCCACGGCUAACUACGUG
rnacentral:rRNA from 1 species